rnacentral:rRNA from 1 species
UACGGGGGGAGCAAGCGUUGUUCGGAAUUAUUGGGCGUAAAGGGCGCGUAGGCGGCCUCUGCAAGUCGACUGUGAAAUCUCCGGGCUUAACCCGGAAAGGUCAGCCGAGACUGCAGGGCUAGAGUGCAGAAGGGGCAACUGGAAUUCUCGGUGUAGCGGUGAAAUGCGUAGGUAUCGAGAGGAACGCCGGCGGCGAAGGCGGGUUGCUGGGCUGACACUGACGCUGAGGCGCGAAAGCUAGGGGAGCGAACGGG